CAUGCAAGUCGAGGGGCAGCAUGAAGUAGCAAUACUUUGAUGGCGACCGGCAAACGGGUGCGGAACACGUACACAACCUUCCUUUAAGUGGGGAAUAGCCCAGAGAAAUUUGGAUUAAUACCCCGAUAACAUUGCGAUGUGGCAUCACAUUGCAAUUAUAGUUUCGGCGCUUAAAGAUGGGUGUGCGUAUGAUUAGAUAGUUGGCGAGGUAACGGCUCACCAAGUCUACGAUCAUUAGCUGAUGUGAGAGCAUGAUCAGCCACACGGGCACUGAGACACGGGCCCGACUCCUACGGGAGGCAGCAGUAAGGAAUAUUGGUCAAUGGACGCAAGUCUGAACCAGCCAUGCCGCGUGAAGGAUUAAGGUCCUCUGGAUUGUAAACUUCUUUUAUAUGGGACGAAAAAAGGUCUUUCUAGACCCCUUGACGGUACCAUAUGAAUAAGCACCGGCUAACUCCGUGCCAGCAGCCGCGGUAAUACGGAGGGUGCAAGCGUUAUCCGGAUUCACUGGGUUUAAAGGGUGCGUAGGCGGGUAGGUAAGUCAGUGGUGAAAUCCUGGAGCUCAACUCCAGAACUGCCAUUGAUACUAUUUAUCUUGAAUAUUGUGGAGGUAAGCGGAAUAUGUCAUGUAGCGGUGAAAUGCUUAGAUAUGACAUAGAACACCCAUUGCGAAGGCAGCUUACUACGCAUAUAUUGACGCUGAGGCACGAAAGCGUGGGGAUCAAACAGGAUUAGAUACCCUGGUAGUCCACGCCCUAAAACGAUGGAUACUCGACAUACGCGAUACACUGUGUGUGUCUGAGCGAAAGCAUUAAAUUAUCCCACCUGGGAAGUACGUCCGC
rnacentral:rRNA from 1 species